GUCAGGAUGGCCGUGUGGUCUAAGGCGCCAGACUCAAGUUCUGGUCUGGUCUGGCGUGGGUUCAAAUCCCACUUCUGACA